CAGCAGCCGCGGUAAUACGUAGGUGGCAAGCGUUGUCCGGAAUUAUUGGGCGUAAAGGGCUCGCAGGCGGUUUCUUAAGUCUGAUGUGAAAGCCCCCGGCUCAACCGGGGAGGGUCAUUGGAAACUGGGAAACUUGAGUGCAGAAGAGGAGAGUGGAAUUCCACGUGUAGCGGUGAAAUGCGUAGAGAUGUGGAGGAACACUAGUGGCGAAGGCGACUCUCUGGUCUGUAACUGACGCUGAGGAGCGAAAGCGUGGGGAGCGAACAGGAUUAGAUACCCCCGUAGUCCCUGUCUCUUAUAC
rnacentral:rRNA from 1 species